rnacentral:rRNA from 1 species
UGAGGAAUAUUGCUCAAUGGGGGAAACCCUGAAGCAGCAACGCCGCGUGAGGGAUGAAGGCGCUUUGCGUUGUAAACCUCUGUAGUCGGGGACAAAUGUAGGGUUACUACCCUAUUGAUGGUACCCGAAAAGUAAGGAUCGGCUAACUACGUGCCAGCAGCCGCGGUAAUACGUAGGAUCCUAGCGUUAUCCGGAUUUACUGGGUGUAAAGGGUGCGUAGGCGGACUUAUAAGUCAGUGGUGAAAUCUCGGCGCUCAACGCCGAAACUGCCUUUGAUACUAUAAGUCUUGAGUUUGGUAGAGAUCCGUGGAAUUCCGAGUGUAGCAGUGAAAUGUGUAGAUAUUCGGAAGAACACCAGCGGCGAAGGCAGCGGAUUGGGCCAAUACUGACGCUCAGGCACGAAAGCAUGGGGAUCAACAGGAUUAGAUACCCUGGUAGUCCAUGCCCUAAACGAUGUACACUUGAUGUCGGCUUGUAAGAGUCGAUGUCGGA